GUCUAUGGCCAUACCACCCCGAACAUACCCGAUCUUGUCUGAUUUCAGAAGCUAAGCAGGGUCGGGCUGCAUUCAGUACUUGGAUGGGAGACUGGCCCAGAAUAUUGAGUGCUGUAAGCU
ensembl:rRNA 5S_rRNA 5S ribosomal RNA